AACGGAGAGAAAGGCGGGGGGGUGGGACCCUCCGUGUCUGUAUCGCGGGGAGCUUUGUGUGAGAUGAGGAACACCGAGCUGCGGCUGAGGAGCCGGCUGUUAGUAGUGAACAGAAUGAAUAACUGCUCCGGCCAGGAAUGUCCCGUGUAACCAGAUUUCAGAAAUAAAGAGGACAAAAAGCAGCAUUCCCAGUGAAAAGACAUCUUCAUACACUGCCCUUGUCAUCAAUGGAUCAAAGAUUAAAAGAUCUUUAGCAGUGGAGGCUGAAAGAGGCUUGGCUGAGUGACAACUGAAAGGAUACCUGAAAGUGCAACUUGGAAAGUGCAGGAAGGAUAUUGCAACGUUCUCACGUGUGUCCCGUACUCAUUUUCCUGCAGUGUUGGAAAUCUGUUUCAAAGUCUGUCACUUUGGCUGACCUUUGGGAAGCCUCCAUUGAUGUGUUCUGAUUUUUAUGAAAAUUUAUGCCUUGCUGUUGAAUGUUGAAAAAAUCCACUGAGAUGCUUUUAAAGUUAAGCCUGAAGAUUUAAAUUGGAAAUGACUGAAGAAUGAGUUUGGGUCUUUUUGAAGUGCUAUUGUUUUGACUCCUUGAAGGCCCCACAUGAAUACUUUCUCUCUCCUUCUCUUUCCUUGGAGAUUCAUAACUGCAACUGCUGUGCAAAGUAAAGUUUCCACUGAGGACUAGCUAAGCAAAUCCGUCAUGCUGAAAGUGAAAGUUGUAUCAGAAGGAGUGGGAUUUCCUGAAGUGCUGCAAGUCUCAGUACUGGAGCAGGCUCUAUUUCAGUCAUCCCUCCACUGCAGCAUACAUCAAUAGAUGGAAUCAGUGCAUCUUUUCUAUUUUACUUCAGCCUCCUACUCACUGACCGCAGCAGGGACUGUGUCGCACCAUUGAGCACCAAGCGGCACUGGAGAGAGGGAGUCCAAAUGUCCACAGAGGCCCUGAGGUGUGCCUAGAGGAGGAGAACACCCCAGGGUGUCUCACCUUCCUCCUCCAUCCUCCUACCAAAGCCAGAUGCCCUGAAUGUGCUGAGCUAAACUGAAACCCUGCCCUGUGGCUUUGGGGAGCAGUCAGCUGUGCAGCCGUGGAUGCUGUAUACUGAGGGAGCACUACUCUCUUGCUUCUAUUGGUAGAAGUGAGUUUUUCUUAAAAAACAGCAAAUUAUACAGUCUCACACCUGACUCUCCAGCUGAAUGGGUGGAAAUGUCUUUUGCUGGGCCUCAACAGUAAAGGAGCCAAAGGCCAGGGGUCAGCUAUUAGAUUCAGCUGUUCCCUAUUGCAGGUUCAACUCGUGUUCCCUGGCCUGGCUGCGCUCUGAGGAACCUUGAGGCACUUGUGCCUUUGUGGUAUGAGCUCAUUUGUUGUCAUUUCCACUUUGGAGUGGGAAAAAAGGUCAUAAGAAGAGAUCAGUAAAUGUGCAGCAUUCAUAAGCAAGGCCUCUUCAAAAACAGACAUGUUGCAGUGUUAUCAUAUCCAGGAAAACAGCAACAGACAGCAUAGCUUUAAAAUACCACCCAGGAAGUCUUGCUUGGAAAGGACAACUCACAGCAUCAAAGCCUGGACAUACUUGCCAAACCAUGCUUUAACUUACUGCCAAGACACCAGAUUUAUCCCCUUAGUAGCAAUGAUGCACUAGGCAAGAUGGUGGCUGCUACAGCAAAGUGGGGAUGGGUUUGUUUCGUAGUGGUCACAAUUGUUGCUCGGCCUCUAACUCUGCCUUGCUGGUCUGUUCAACUUCUGCAACAACGACAGAAGGAACCCUACAGACAUUAAUACUUGAUGCGAAAGGUACAUGAAAUUAGCCUGAGGACUGUUUGGGAAUAAGUAACUCUCAAGCAUACAAUAAGAAUUCAAGAGAAUUAAUUUAACAGCUAAAAGUCAAAUGUAAUGAAAAAAUAUUUAUGAAAAUUUUUUAUGUUUAGGUGAAUAGUUUCAAGCCAAAAAUAAAUGAGAAAUAUGCAUGGCCUGAUAGAAAUUGGACUGUGUUUAGAUUCUGAUAACCUGAAAGAGAAUUUUUUAGCAUAAUGAUAAGUUUGGGUGAUUAUUUGAAGAAUAAGAACAGAAUGGCUGUUCUUGACUUUAAUUUGGAGCCAAAAUAUUCUAUGUAGAGAACUUGUGAAAUUCAUAUCCCCUUUAGUUCUGCAGUCUGUAAUUACUCACUUACAGGACAUAGUAUUCAGAUUUAUGAGGAAGAAGGAGAGAGUGGCAGUCAAUUGUUAUUUUUUAUUUCUAGCCAGUGUUUGCAGAUUCAAUUGUGAUAACCAACCAAAACCUGAUUUUUUUCCCUUCAAACAGCUCUGUCUGUGGUAAAAAGUGUGUAUCCAUGUUUUACAUCUUUUUCAGUGCAUAAACAUUUAAGGAUACUUACUUAACCACAUGACAAUUUUCUGAGCCUUGCAAGUCUUACAAAUCCCUAAUCACAGGUUGAUAUAUUCAAUAACGUAGAAUUAAUGAGUAACAGUUGAAAUGUGCCUGGCUUAGGUGGCUACUGAGGUUCUGUGGUGUUGAAAUAAUAAGGUGUGGGUCUGGUUAGAAGGGGACUAGGCAUCUGUUCCCACCUCAGCUAUGACUUCCCAUACUAGUACCCAUAUUCAUGUGGAGAAUUAUAGCACUAGUGAUUGUGCUAUUACAGUGAUAGUGAUUACUGAAGUAAUCUAAACAGAAAACUUUGCUUCUCUGGAAGUGGGGAAUAACUACUGUAUUUUAGUGACAUGCUAAUUGAACCUCGGUUUGAAUGUCCAAAGGUGUAGUUCCUGGCUGAUGCAUUUAUACACUAUUGAAUGUAAAUUUUUACUCACUUAAUCUUGUCUUAAUGUGAUUCUUUGGUUGACAAGGUAAGUUUGUGACUUCUGAGCUGAGAAUUGUCUUAAGCUGGUCACAGCUUUCAUUUGGAGCAAGCACUAUACUUGUUACUGUGACAGAGGCCCUUAAACAGGAAGACGGGUAAAUUCUACCAGCAAGGAAUGGUAGCUGGCCUCACUGGGACAUGUAAAGCUUUUUGGUAAGAGAGGGCAUAGCAAUGAACAACUUCCUGGAAACCUUAGCAAUGCAGAGGUUUGAAAGAACUAUAUUGGCCUGCAGUUCAUAAACAUCAUAGGCUGAAUAAUCUGCUUCUAAGUGCAUCAGAAACUUUUGCUCAUAUAUUUAGACUUCGCUUCUAGAACUAAAAGUGCUAAAAAAUGGCAAGACUAAAAAGGCAGCACAGCAAUAAAAAUUCCAUUUUGACUCUGGGGAGAGCUUCAGAGAUGUUGUGGUCAGAAUUUUCUCCAUUAUUUGCAAGUUCUCAAAGAAGAAUCUUCUUUCUUUUGGAUUAGCUUUUUGUAAAAUCUAUUAAGAUUUUUAAUUGCAUUUAAAAAUAUUAUGUUUUGAAACUUAGUCUGCAGGAAGUUUAACCAGACCUUAUUAAGGACUCUGAGUGUGACAGAAGCUUGUGUAUCAGCAAGGUGCUUUGCUUGUCUGCCCAAUGCCAGUUUGGGGAGUAAACAGAGUGAGGGAGGCUCAAAUUAUGAGCUGCUUUGGUCUUCAUAGUCAGUAAGUACUUUGCCACUUCCAUUGCCUCAUUACAUCUCUUCUAUUAGAAAGCCUUCAUAAAUUACAGGAAUAAGUGGCCCUUAGCAAAUAACUUCAAAACAGAGCAACUAAGUAGGACUGGAGGAGAAUGGGAAACUCCAUUCUGCUACUGCUAAAGCAGAUAGUUCUGAGCUGCUGGCAUUUUUUUCCCCUUCUCUGCUUAGGAUGAAAGACAAAAAUGUUAAUAAUUUCCACAAAUUGAAAAUCUGAAAAAUGUGAGCUGAGGUCAGCUGGAACAUUUCAUUUCUAUAAUUUUGUAAUAUCUUUUGACAAUGCUGAUCUGUCUUUAAUCUAUUUAUGCCUAAAUUUGCUAAGAUUUCAAAAUUUUAAAAAGUUCCAGCUUGAAGGAAACAAAAGCUUUCUAACUCAAAAUGUUGAAGAAAGACUACAUUUUAAUGUUUUCAAAAAAUAAAUAAAUCAAGGAGCAAUAAGAAAUUGAGCCUUUUCUUAGCCAUUAGUCUGAGUCAUAACACAGAUCAGUAACAAAUGCUGUGUAUUUCAGUAGGAGAGCACUCCAGUGACUAACUUUUUUUCCUAUCCGGUUGACUGCAGUGACAUUUGGGUCAGGCCUACUAAGAUGGUUCUCCUAACUGUGCCAGUGCCAGAAAAAUGCUUGCAUGGUGAUAAGUCAAUGGAACAUCAAAGAGAAAUAUUCAUUUUUUUAGUCAAGAGCAAGAUAUUUGAUGAUGGAACUAAUCCCUAGGCAAUAAAAAUUUUCCUUUACAGUCAAUUCUGUGAUUAAGCCAAAGCCACUGCUUUGUUCCUCCACCUGUCCCUAUGAGUCAGCAGUGCUUUCCUCAUGCUUUUCCUCCAAGUUAGAUGACAGUGCCUCUCCUGUGCUGCAGAUGCACAAGUGUUUUGCCUACAGUUGUGACUUGUUUAGCUUUUGCAAUGUUGGGAGCCACUCUGAGCUCUGGCACACUUUUUACCAAAUAGGAGAGUCUGGUGGGGGCAAUCUCAUACUGCUCAUGGCUUUGUUACUGUAAAAAUCAGGAGUUUGAAAAUCUCAUCACAACCAUUUGUAAUUUGCUUAGAACUGUAACGAAAAUGCUAAAUUUUGUCCUUAAAAGUACUGAAAUUUUUAAGAUUUAAUCCCAUUGGAUUCUAAAAGCCAGAGGUAUAAUAUACAUCUUUGUGCCAAAUUUUCUCAUAGUGUUUUGUUCCUUACCUGCAACUCCAGUGGGCACAAAGACAUGUCCACUUGGUAGUGCUGUACAUGUGAGUUACACUGUUGUAACAUCUCUGUAAGAAGAGUUUCUUUUUUUGCAAGGACACCUUUGAAAUUCUAUCUGGUCAGUGUCUGAAGUUAGAACAGGAGCAAAACAUUGUCCUCAAGUACCAGGCUGAGAGAUUAAUUCAAAUGUUAUUGAACUUUUGCUCUGAGUUAAGGUCAAUUGUAUGAAUGAACUUAUAUUCCGUUUCCAAAUGGGCACAUCUGUAAUUUACAAUAUAUGUUUUAGUAUAUCACAUAACUACAUUUUGCUUCUGAUUCUCUAUACUGGGGUAAGUAUUUGGUGGCUUUUGCCAGAUGUUCUUCUGAAGCCAAUGUGAAUAUCAACAACAUGAAGUAAGAGGUGCCACCUGUACAAGUGUCAUGCCAGGCCACGCAGUGUGCUUCCCACCUAAUCACAGAGAGAAAGAAUCUGUGUGACUCAGAGAGGCAAAGGAAAAUAAAUGUCAGACCUCUGGACUGAGAGCUCAGCUGCCAGAGAGGAGGGUUGUUGGAGCCAGUGAACUCUCCAUUGC